rnacentral:rRNA from 1 species
GAUGAACGCUGGCGGCGUGCCUAAUACAUGCAAGUCGAGCGAACAGAUGAGGAGCUUGCUCCUCUGACGUUAGCGGCGGACGGGUGAGUAACACGUGGAUAACCUACCUAUAAGACUGGGAUAACUUCGGGAAACCGGAGCUAAUACCGGAUAAUAUAUUGAACCGCAUGGUUCAAUAGUGAAAGACGGUUUUGCUGUCACUUAUAGAUGGAUCCGCGCCGCAUUAGCUAGUUGGUAAGGUAACGGCUUACCACGGAAACGAUGCGUAGCCGACCUGAGAGGGUGAUGGCCACACCGGAAACAGACAAACGUCCCAAACCCCCACGGGGGGCAGAAGGGGGAAACUUCCCGCAAGGGGCGAAAGCCGCCAGGGCAAACGCCGGGGAGGUGAUGAAGGUUCUCGGAUCAUAAAACUCUUUUAUUAGGGAAAAACAAAUUUUUAAGUAACUUUCCCGGCUUUGGCGGUACCAAAUCAAAAAGCCCCGGUAAACUACUU